GAUGAACGCUGGCGGCGUGCUUAACACAUGCAAGUCGAACGGAAAGGCCCAAGCUUGCUUGGGUACUCGAGUGGCGAACGGGUGAGUAACACGUGGGUGAUCUGCCCUGCACUUCGGGAUAAGCCUGGGAAACUGGGUCUAAUACCGGAUAGGACGAUGGUUUGGAUGCCAUUGUGGAAAGUUUUUUCGGUGUGGGAUGAGCUCGCGGCCUAUCAGCUUGUUGGUGGGGUAAUGGCCUACCAAGGCGUCGACGGGUAGCCGGCCUGAGAGGGUGUACGGCCACAUUGGGACUGAGAUACGGCCCAGACUCCGACGGGAGGCAGCAGGGGGGAAUAUUGCACAAUGGGCGCAAGCCUGAUGCAGCGACGACGCGUGGGGGAUGACGGCCUUCGGGUUGUAAACUCCUUUCGCUAGGGACGAAGCGUUUUUGUGACGGUACCUGGAGAAGAAGCACCGGCUAACUACGUG
rnacentral:rRNA from 1 species